AGGGGGUACUUGCCUGUUCCUCAGAGAGGAAUGUUGCUACUAUAUCAAUGAGUCUGGGCUAAUAGAAAAGAAUAUUGUUAAAUUGCAGGAAUUAUCGACCUAAUUGCUCAAAACCACCUCCCCUAAUCCCAUAGCAGGGUUCUUCCAAUCUUCUCCAUGUACUUGCUACCUUUCUUGGGGCCCCUUAUUGGGAUACUCCUCUUUUGCUCUCUCUUGCCCUGCAUAACGAAGUUCCUUCAAACCCAAUUACAGAAAAUUUCUAAUCAAACUUUCAAUCAGCUUCUGCUUAGGAACUACCAGCCUCUGAUGACCGAUGAACCCCGAAUAUCUUCAAGAGAACAGCUCACUCAGUGCUGAAGCUUACUACCAGGCACAAUGAAAAACGACGGACAUCGGACAGCGGGAGACAAAAAUCCAGGAUGGCAGAGGAUCUCUUAACCUGUCAACCGGGAUUUUUGAGCCUUCAUGUCCUUCUAAGCCUCCUCAUGGCCCUUGGCCUCUUCUCUGUCAGUCCCCCAGCAUGGAACUCCCACCGAAAACUGACCUUUGUUUUAAUUCUUAUCUUCAUCUUGUUCUUGUUUGCUCUGAUCUUCUUCAGGUGCUGGUGACGCCCCUUAUGACAGGGACACUAGGAAAUAUUGGAAGCGCUAUUUUGACAUGACAUUGGCGCUCCCGAUGCUUCCUGGAGCCCUUGUUACGAGACCUAAUGGCUGGUGACCAACCCCAACAACCUCCUCCAUCCAGGGAUAACGCCCCACGCCACCCCUACUCAGCAGGAAGUAGCCAGAGUCGAAUGACGUCCCUGUUCCAAAAACAACACAAAAGAGGGGGAAAUGUUGGUCAUAUAUGCUCUAUCUAACAUGGCACCCAGGUAGCUUCUCUUCCUGUGUCUUCGUUUCCACCAGCGCCAAUUUUCAAUUCCACUGGCAGAAAACCCAGCCCAAUAAGAACUAAUUUCGUAGGCUCCAGAACUGAUAUCUGGAAGAACUUACCAAUAAACAAGCACCCUGUCGUUUACCUAAGUCCUGCCUCCUAUCCUUAGAUCUAUAUAAGCACAUAGCCUUUUGAAAUAAAGUGGAACUUCUCCCGUGAUUUGUCUCGCAUCG
rnacentral:lncRNA from 1 species